AAAAGUCAAAGGUAGAAACCUUGCAAUCCAACCUCUGCUCGCAAGAAAAACCGAAAGCCUCUACACCGCCGCACUGCACCGCCACUCCUCACUCUGCACCAUCGCUCUCUUGCACCUCUUUCCGGCCGCCUUCCAAUCUCUGGUAAAACCCUCAGAAAACCACUCUAACCUCUGCUCGCAAGAAAACCCGCAACACCUCUGCACCGUCGCUCUCUUUCACCGCUUUCCUUCCUCCUCCAACCUCCGGUAAACCCCGGCUGCCCCACCGCUGCCAUCAAUUCCACGAUCUUCUUCAGCAAUGCCAUUGGAUGGGUUUUCUAGCAUUAAUGUAUUAUAAAAGGAGACUAAAUCCCUUGGGUACUACGACAAUACGGCAGAUUUCUCUUUUCUAUUCCUCGUGGAUGAUUGUCAGCCAUAGCCAAACAAGGCCUUUAAUUCUAACGGAAGUAUCACAGGCCCUCAUUCUACUUUAAAUAAGAUUGUUCCUCCACCUGCUUAGGUAUAUUUCAUACAUUCUAGGUUACUCAGGAUCACAAAGGAUUACAUUUCACAAAACAGUAGUAAAAUGAUGAUAGAAUUACCUAAAAUUUUGAAGCAUGGGUUCAAUAUUUCUUAAUUCAGUACUUUCCUUAUGAAUCUGGAGAACCUCAACCAUUUGACAGUACGGUCCACUAAAUUCGAAUUGUCCUCCCAAUGAGUAAGGAACAUCUGAAUGUAAAUCCUGAAAGAACUUCAAGGAUCAUUAAAGGUUUUCCAGGAGAAGAUUAAAAAAUGUUAGCCAACUUCAAGGAUCUGCUGGAUAAAAUGUUUGUCCUAGAUCCAGAUAAAAGACUAACUGUCUCACAAGCUUUGAAUCACCCAUUUAUUACGGGCAAGUGAAUUCAGUUGCUGAUUUUCUGAGUCCAGAAAUGUUGUAACACUAGAUUUUUGUACAUUCCAGUCUUAGUUUAUAUCAGACUCUAAUCAUUGGGAAUUUAUCUAUCUAUCUAUCUAUCUAUCUUCUGCACUACUGUGGGCCUGAUAUUGAGGGAGAUUGCUUCCGGCGUCAUUCAAGUUGGACUCAGAAGGCUGAUAUCUGUUGGGAGUUCACUUACUGGCAAUUCUCAAUUGAUUGUGUUCUGUUUCUAUUGAAAUUUCCAGUUCUUUGGGGCAACCUCCAGUCUCUAGAGGCCUCCAAGGCACCCUGCAGAAGCUUUGGCUCUGGAGUUGGGGAUGUCUGGUGCUGCUUCUCAUGAAAGUUAUAUCAGAGAAUUUCCCAAGCUACUGCAGCUCUAUUUACAGAAAGAAAGAGGAGGUAGGGAAAAUAGAUGUCUUAGUUUGGAGUGGACGCCAUGGUUGAUACUCUUCACAAGCAGGCGCAUGAUCCCUUGUUCUCAAUGACAUUGAGAUUCUUGAUAAGGAGUUCUGUCUUCGUCAAGGAGUACCCUCACCCAUCCUGGACCUGACUGAAAAGGUUGCUUCUUGAGGACAAAGAUGCUCCAGCAACACCCCAAUUUGUGAGGCAAUAGAGAGGAGCUAGAGCUGCACUGAAUGAUACCACAGAAGCUCAGCCCCUCAAGAAGAGACCACUGAACACACACUGGCAGCACCAACUGUUGUGCUUGAGCAAGAAGAAUUUCAGGGAAUAUAUUCCGGAGUGCAAGCUGAAGUGCUGCUCCUACUGAUGUCCAGCUGGCUCAUUCAAGAACACCACAGGCUGAUUUUCUUUGCUUGAUUACUAAACAUGUACGAAGAAAGGGAAUGGUGUGGUUGCACUUUUUUCCCCUUUCCAUUUUGUAAACGCAUAAGAGUAACUUGUAAAACGUACGUUAUAUUUUAAUAUAUUUAAUGCUUGUUUAUGAAAAAAAAAUAAUUUUUUUUCAAAAA